UUUAUUUAAUACUAAUUUUCCUUUUCUCAAAUCAUAAACAAAAAAAGAUUUGUACAAAUAAUUUUGAUAAAUUCUCGAGGAGAGUCAUUUAUAUUUUAUCUUCACAAACAUAGUCAUUAAUAAAUAAAAUUACCAAAAUAAUUUUAAUUAAAGAUUAAAAAUAUAUUUUUAUCUUAGGGUUAAUUAAUCUAAACUUAUAGUAUAGAGUUAAAGGGUAAGUUCUUGGAGUUAUGGUUUCAAAUUUUAAAAUAUUUAAAAAUAAAUAUUAAAAUUUUUAAAAUAAAAUGAAGCUAUUUUGGUCAUUUUCUUCCUCGAGAGCUAUUUUGUGACAAAAACUUAAAAAUAACUAUUUUUAAUACUAAUUUUCCUUUUCUAAAAUAAUAAAGAAAAUAUAACUGUAAAGAAUUGAUAGUAAUUAUCCUUUUUUAAAAAAAAAAUUGACCAAAAAAUUGUAAAAAGUGUUUAAUGUUAAUUUUCCUUUAUUCAAAUCUGAUUUUUAGAAAAAAUAGGUAAAAGUAAUUUUUGUUUUUACAAAUCCUAUACCAAAACUGAUUUGUAUGUUCUUUUCUUCUUAUAAACUGAUUUGAUUGCGAAUAAAUGGUCCUCUAAACAAAAUGUUACAAAAAGUCAAGAAAAUCGAUAACUUAAAUUCACCAUCUGUAAGACAUAGCUAUAACACCUUAUACUGAUUUUAAAUUUGAACUCACACAAAUAACCAAAGAAUUAAUAACGAACCACUUAUUUCUUUUGAGUUCUCACACUAAACAAGACCUUCAAGAACGAAUCCACGCUGCACACUCCAAGUCUACAUCUAUAGGCCAAGUACACAACAAUCUAUCAUUGAUUUCAACAAUCUAUCAUUGGUACUUAACUGUAUAAGUAUGUUUCCCAAAUAAAACUUCAUGUUAAAUUCCAACUAAAUUAACUUUGUUACGACUAUCGGCUAUUUAUUCUACUUUUAUUGAAUCGAUUAGUCAAAACUACUUAUGUUAUUCCAUUUUGAACUAAGCAACUUCAAAACAAAGUAAUACACUACAUUCGCUAAUCACUAUCAAAUGGAUCGAAAAAUAUCAUUAUCUUCUAAUAUAUUUUCAUUUUUAUAUUUUUGAACAUAUUUUCUUUACUAAAACCAUAAAAUGAAUUGUAAAUUCAUGUAAAAAUAAAAUAUACGAAUCCGGUGCGUAACGCCAGAAUAACACUAGUAUAUAUAUAAUCAUAGAACAUGUCCUUAAAAGCUAAACAAGCAAGUAUACAAAAAUGAGAAGGUGCAUAUGAUCAAAAAUUAAAUAUUUAGAAAUAAGCAAAUAAAUGCCCUACCAACCACGUUGGUCAGAAAAUAUAUUUUAAAAAAAUGUAUGUGUUUUCCCUUCCGGCUUUCUUAUCUAAAUGCAAGGCUACGUUGGGGUAUGUUUCUGUUGUUGCUAAUUUAUCUGCAGUUCUACAACCAUCAUUAAUCACACUCAGUGAUUUCCAUCUCACUUUAUCAUCAGACAUAUUUACCCAUUUGGAUUAAUAAAUUAGAAAUGCCCUACCAUUUACCACGUUUCACAUGCAGAUUGAUCCAGCUUGUUACUUUCUCUAACAUUUAUUUCACCUGUUUUCAGAUAAUCGUAACCCAAAUAAAAAUCGAAGCAAAACUGUUCAGUGGCGCUAAUCCAUCCAUAUAUCACUAUUCGACAGUCUCACCUACAAAUGAACGAAUAAUAAAGAAGUCAUUCAUUAAAGUAUGAAAUGUAAAAACGCAAACCAACACUACAAAAGAAAGUGUGGAUUGUAUCACUUAAAUUGUAUCAGUUAAAUAAAUGAUCUCAUUUUAAAUCACUUAUUCCUAAAUGAGACAAAUAUUAAUAAUUUGAAAUCAAUUAUAGGAAUUGAUGUUAUUAUUAACUAAUGUUGCAUCAGUUCAGUAAAAUGAUAUAUUUUUUCAUUAAUUUGUAUCACUUUAAUAAAAAUGAUAUUAUUUUAUAAAUUUAUAUCAUUUAAAUAAUUGAUGUAUGUAUUAGUUUGGUUAACAUCACUUAUUAACAUGAUACAUAAUUGACAUCAGUUAAAAAUGAUACUAGUUAAAAUUAUAUAAUUAUAUUUUCAUCAAUUUACUAAAAUAAUAUUAUUUACUUUAGGUUGCCUCUAAAUAUUUGAAAGUAGAAAAUUAAUUUGCAUUAAUAAAAUAAUUAAUUAACAGAUAUAUAACGUAAUAUUAACAUGGAAUUAUGUGUAGCAAAGCAAAUCUAUUGCAAUCCCAAAAAAAUAGGAACCACGAACACGUCCAGUUGAAACAACUGAUCACUUGAACCAAUCGUUAAAAUUAGUUUUCUACAAAUAUUAACGAUACGAGAAGUAGUUAAUAUCUUGUGGCUUUAAUGAAUGCAUCUUAUUUUCUUUUUUUUGUCAAGAUCCUCUCUCAUUAAGCCUUCGUCUUCCUCUUCAGUUCUUAAACUUGUUUAUGAGUUUAAAAUUUAUUGUUCUAACAUUAACAAAUUUUAACAAGCAUCAAACAUUUAUUUCUCAUAUGAGUCAUGAUGUUUGAUUUUGUUUCUUCUUGUGGAGGAUAUGACAAAGAGACCAAGGUUUGCUAAUCAGACUAAUACGCUGGAAAACUCUCAAAAGGAAUUGGAGUCUUCGAAUAUUUUAGAAGUUGACUCAAAAUCUGGAAAAAGAGUAGACGUCAGAGAAUAUUGACGGGUGGAUAGUUAUACGAUGAAUCUCGUUAACUCAGCUUCAUACCAUCAACUGAGACGAAGAAUGGAAAUAGAGAUAUAAAGAUCUAGAAGAAGAAGAAGAAAAGAAGGCAAAAAAACAAUGUUGAAGUUUCUUCAAUGUAAUUUUUUUAAUUUUGUUUUUCUGCUUAUACGUUAGAUUGUAAUUUUUAAUGGAAAUAAAAUUAAAAAUUGAUUAAAUAAAAUAUUUUAUUUAUUUAUUAA